GACGUAGGGCGCGAGCGUUGUCCGGAUUUAUUGGGCGUAAAGAGCUCGUAGGCGGCUUGUUAAGUCUUGCGUGAAAUCUCGGGGCUCAACCCCGAGCGGUCGUGAGAAACUGGCAGGCUAGAGUGCGGGAGAGGAGAGUGGAAUUCCUGGUGUAGCGGUGAAAUGCGCAGAUAUCAGGAGGAACACCGGUGGCGAAGGCGGAUCUCUGGGCCAUUACUGACGCUGGAGGAGCGAAAGCGUGGGGAGCGAGCAGG
rnacentral:rRNA from 1 species